rnacentral:tRNA from 1 species
AAUAAAAUGGCUGAAAAUUAGGCGAUAAAUUGUAAAUUUAUUUAUGAAAAUUAUUUUUUCUUUUAUU